AUGAACGCUAGCGGCAGGCUUAGUACAUGCAAGUUGAGGGGCAGCAUGAUAUACGCGAGUAUAUUGAUGGCGACCGGCGGACGGGUGAGUAAUAGGUAGGAGACCUACCUCAUACAGGGGGAUAGCAUAGAGAAAUCUGUGGUAAUACCCCAUGAGGUUAUAUGAAUAGAGGCAUAUAAUCAAAGCAUAAGCGAUUAUGCGGUAUGAGAGGGGCCUACUGACCAUUAGCUAGUUGGUGAGGUAAGGGCUCACCAAGGCGAAGAUGGUUAGGGGUUUUGAGAGAGAGACCCCCCACAUUGGAACUGAGAGACGGUCCAGACUCCUACGGGAGGCAGCAGUAGGGAAUAUUGGGCAAUGGGCGAAAGCCUGACCCAGCCAUGCCGCGUGAAGGAAGACGGCCUUAUGGGUUGUAAACUUCUUUACUACGCGAAUAGAGGUUAGUACGAGAUACUAAUAGGAAGGUAGUGUAGUAAAAAGCACCGGCUAACUCCGUG
rnacentral:rRNA from 1 species